rnacentral:lncRNA from 1 species
CACACUGCCAUAUGCAUAAUUUGUUGUUAAUCAAUUUUUUAUAUUUUCACUUAGUGCAGGUUAAUGCAAGGAAGAUACUGUACUACAGAUAUUUAAAUCCUUUUUUGUAUGUACUCCACAUCUUCACUGCCUGACCAUCAUCUUAAUGUUUAUGAAGUUCAAUGUUUUUAUUAUUUUUUUAUAUCUAAAGCACCUUGUUCAGUAAGUAUUUAGAUGUUUUUUAGGUCUAAUCAUGAUCUGUUUCUGUUGUUCUGAUGAAGGAAGCUUGUGUUGGGGAGGAUUCAGUGUCUGUUGAGGCACAUGUGAAUGUGCUACAAAGUGAGUAUCAGAAAACACAUCCAGACACAUAGUCAAAGACCACACGGCAGGAACAUGAUUCUGGAGACGUUGAGAAAGCACGGAAGGAAUAUCUGAGGAGGAUGUACUCAAAAAAUACACAUACUUCAGGACACCUGCUGGAGUGAGUAUAUUAAAGAAAAAAAACUAAUCAACUGUAAAAUAUCUUGUUUCAAAUCUUUUCAGGUAGUGUUUUAUUCUUCUGUACCUUUUCAGCCCAUCUGUUAAAAAUUUAAACAAUAGUUUUAGAAAACAAUGUCAGAUUUAUCAGUGUAUACAAGAACAUGAAAUGCACCAUACAUUGUAAACCUUAUACAUUAGCUUCUGAUUGUUUCUGCAAUUCUGCGGUGGAUGUAGCUACACUGUCUGAGCCAAAGAGAAUGCAACAGAAUCUGAUGAAUCUGAAAAGUGUUUUCUUUUUUUCUUCUCGUUAUUAUUAUUAUUAUUAUUGUUGUUGUUGUUAUUAUUCUUUUUAUUUAUUUAUUUUAUGAAAGGGGGACCCGGCUACACCUUUCCUACCGUACACCUUAUGGACUCUGACUGUAAAAUGGCAAUCAUAGGAGCGCUCAGUGUGGUGACAGAAGAUGUAACAGAUGUGUGUCAGUGCACCAGCCUUGAUGAAGCCUUCAUAACAGCCUUGUGGAUGUAUUUUGCUUUCAACAUUGCAUAUCCACCACACCUGAGGAUGGUUGACUGGAAGUCUGUCAGUCCAGAUGUGAGGAAGACACACAGAGUGGAGCUGGAGCUCAGCAGAUGUGUGAUGGCUGUAGAUACUGCUAGGAAAGAAGGGCAUCUUCACAGCUUUCUAUUCAGACAAAGAGUUUGCUGGAUUCUGUUCUAUGGACUGCUACUACAGAAUGAAUUAAUGAAUGAGUGGUUUAUCUAUCUAUCUAUCUAUCUAUCUAUCUAUCUAUCUAUCUAUCUAUCUAUCUAUCUAUCUAUCUAUCUAUCUUUUUACUUGAAAUGGUGACUGAAACUGAAAGCUAAAUAAAUGUUUUAGUGGAUAAAGUUGUGUCUGUUUGCUUAAUUGGUUAAUGUCACUUAAAACAAGGUUACUAAACUCUUCUGACUAAUUUUUAUAUUUAUUAGUUUUUUUUAUUAUUUUUACUAAUUUUUCUCUAUCAGGCA